rnacentral:tRNA from 1 species
GUUUAUAGCUCAGUUGGUUAGAGCAUCCGGCUCAUAACCGGAUGGUCCCAGGUUCGAGUCCUGGUAAA